AGACUUACCUGUAGGGCAGAUCCCAUGAUCACAAAGGUGGCUUUCCCAGGGUGAGGCCUGUCCCAUGCACUCCAGCCAGGCUGACCCCUGUGACGUUCCCCAAAUGCAGGAAACUUGACUGCACAAUGUUGUGGCAUUGGGGGGCUGUUUUCCUGAUUUCUUCCUG
ensembl:snRNA U1 U1 spliceosomal RNA